rnacentral:rRNA from 1 species
UGCAUGCGGCAGCUACCAUGCAGUCGAGCGGGGAGAUGUAGCUUGCUACCUAUAUCCUAGCGGCGGACGGGUGAGUAAUGCUUAGGAAUCUGCCUAUUAGUGGGGGACAACAUUCCGAAAGGAAUGCUAAUACCGCAUACGCCCUACGGGGGAAAGCAGGGGAUCUUCGGACCUUGCGCUAAUAGAUGAGCCUAAGUCAGAUUAGCUAGUUGGUGGGGUAAAGGCCUACCAAGGCGACGAUCUGUAGCGGGUCUGAGAGGAUGAUCCGCCACACUGGGACUGAGACACGGCCCAGACUCCUACGGGAGGCAGCAGUGGGGAAUAUUGGACAAUGGGCGAAAGCCUGAUCCAGCCAUGCCGCGUGUGUGAAGAAGGCCUUUUGGUUGUAAAGCACUUUAAGCGAGGAGGAGGCUACUUGGAUUAAUACUCUUGGAUAGUGGACGUUACUCGCAGAAUAAGCACCGGCUAACUCUGUGCCAGCAGCCGCGGUAAUACAGAGGGUGCGAGCGUUAAUCGGAUUUACUGGGCGUAAAGCGUGCGUAGGCGGCUUUUUAAGUCGGAUGUGAAAUCCCUGAGCUUAACUUAGGAAUUGCAUUCGAUACUGGGAAGCUAGAGUAUGGGAGAGGAUGGUAGAAUUCCAGGUGUAGCGGUGAAAUGCGUAGAGAUCUGGAGGAAUACCGAUGGCGAAGGCAGCCAUCUGGCCUAAUACUGACGCUGAGGUACGAAAGCAUGGGGAGCAAACAGGAUUAGAUACCCUGGUAGUCCAUGCCGUAAACGAUGUCUACUAGCCGUUGGGGCCUUUGAGGCUUUAGUGGCGCAGCUAACGCGAUAAGUAGACCGCCUGGGGAGUACGGUCGCAAGACUAAAACUCAAAGGAAUUGACGGA